UCUUCACCUGUAGGUGGCUAUUUAAAAAAAAAUCUUAGCUUUGUUUGCUCUAAAAUUUUAUGUGAAAAACUUAAUGCAUAUUAUAUUUAAUCAGGCUUCUUUUGCUCACCAUGUUUGUGAGAUACAUUCGUGUAAUUGCAAUAUCUGUAGUUUUUUCGUUUUAUUGCUGGUAAUAUUUCAUUAUAUGGACAACUAUACUACAAAUUGUGCAUCCAUUCACCUGUUGAUGGACAAUUUACUUGUUCCCAGUUUGCUGCAAUUGUGAAUAACUUUCUACGAAUAUUGAUUAAACUUUAUAAUCUUACUACAUUGUACCAGUUCCUCUCAAUUCUCCACAGAGGUUCAGGAAAAGGGACAGCAGACUCUACAUUUUCCAUCCUACAUCCUUUCUAUCUGUGUGUAUGUAUGUGUGUGGCUGUAUUUUUCAGGCUACAUUGUGACAGUCCACAUCUCUUUCAGGAGCCAAUCUUGAAAGCCAUUGCCAAGAAAUGCAGUCGAAGCCCAGAUCAGGUCACCCGGCUCAGCGGCGUUGUUGGUUCCGGCCAAGAGCUUCUCUGAGAAGAGAAUGCAAGAUGACCUUCAGGGAUGGGGGCAGCUUGGAAGGGUGAGAAGAGAGAGCACUGGACUCAGAGUCCUAAGGUUUGUCACCUCUGUGCUUUGCUUUGCCACUUACUAGGUAUGUGACACUAAGCAAAUUUCAACUCUGUUAUUUUAAUCGGUUUUAGGAGUUCUUCUACAUGGUAAUAAAUUUAAGGGCCCUGGGUUCUCCCAUUUACCUUCUCUGCCCAACAAACUCCUAUUUGUAUUUUAAGAUCAAACCCAAAUAAGAUAAGCUGCUUUGUUUAACCACUCAAACCACCCACCAUAUUUUUUCACCAUUAUAAUACAUGGAACAGCUCUGCUUAGUGAGAUUUUUUUUCUUAUUAAUUGCCCACUGUUUGCUAAUAUGUCAGUGUGCUCUCUGGAUGGUGAGACCCUAAAUGCAGUGACUCUUUUAUUACCUUUCUCUUAGCAGAGAGGAAACCAGGUAUAAGUUCAUAGCCUUACCAAAUUAACAUAUACAAUGAGUAAAGUUAUUUCCUAAACCUCUCCCCAUAUACACUCUGGGCCUUAUAUUAAUCACAGGUCUCCAACUAAUUUUGUUUUGAAUCCCACAAGAAUUUUGAAAAACCAUGUAAGCUAUUUUUCAUUUUGAGAUGACAGCUACAAAUUUUAUCGUGAGUUUCAUAUUUACAAAAUACGACAUUUGAGACAUAUUAUUUGUAAUGUAUUUACUUCAAAACAUUUUAGUUAUAGAUCAAGUAUAUUCAUUUGUGGAAAAAUUCAAUUGGCAAAUCUAAAUCUCAUUGUUAAACCACACAGAUUACAUUUUAUUUUUCAAUUAAACACCUGUUAAUACCUGCUCCCAUGACAACCAAAUAACUUCUGAAGUACAUUAUUUAAAGGAAUAAUGGAUAAACUGGUGGGUGGAUAUAUAGAAAAUAGACAUAUAUAGAGAGAACAAGAUGAUGAUGAUAGUAGAUGGAAGGAUGAAUGAUAGAUAGAUACAUAGAUAGAUAAUAGGCAGAUUAUCUUAGCCUUUCAUGAAAUUGUCUUCUGGACCACAUAAUGAACUUAGUACUUUUUACCAAAGGUAUCUCUGUUUUGCUAUUAAAGGACUUCCCAUUAGAGGCUGCUCCCAUGACAACCAUAUCACUUCUGAAACACAUUUUAAAAAAGAAUAAUGGAUAAAUUGGUGGGUAGAUAGAUAGAAAAUGAACAGAUAUGUAUAGAGAGAAAUACAGAAAUAGAUGAUGAUAAUGGACGGAUAGAUAGAUAGAUGAUACAUAGGCAGAUGAUAUGAGUCUUUCAUGAUUGUCUCCUGGAUCACAUAAUAAACUUAGCUUUUUUUUUUUUUUUUUAACCAAAUGUCUCUCUGUUUUGCUAUGAAAGGACUUCCUAUCAGGGGCUAUGUGUUGACAAGUGAAAACCAACUUAGACUUAAGUAAGAGAAAUUUAUUCAAAGGGUAGAACUCUGAGCAUAACAUCUAUGUAUCUCAAAGAUCGAUCAGAAAACAUUCUUUAUAAAGGACAAGCAAACAGAGCUGCAAACGGACAGUAUUUAGGGGUCCUGAGGUGAGCAAGUAGAAGAGUUGAUCAGGAAAUGCUUUUUAUGGGGCAGAUUACUGAGUGGGAUUUUCCUGUUGUCCAAGGCUUGUUCAGUGUAAGCCUACGACUGGAUCGAGUUCCAGGGGCAGUGGGGAAACAAGAGCCUGACCAAGUGUGGUCAAGUCCAGGUGGUAGGUAUUGUGUCCACACUUCCUUUUCUAUUUUAAAACAAGUGAUUUCUUUUUUCUGUCUCAAGCAAUUCUCUAGAAAUAUUUUAGAUUGAUGAGUGUACACUUUCCUUUUGAGAACUGGUGUGGAGUAGAAGAGGGGUGGGAUGGAGAAGAGGCAGCGCUCAGGUGGAAGAGGUUCCAGGCCAGGCGCACCUGGAAACAUGAGGAUGGAAAUGUCUCCCUAAUGCCAUGCUUGCCUGUCUCCUGCAAAGUCCUUGGAUUCCCAGGUGGAAGCUGCUGUCCUGGGGAAAGGUUAAUGUGAGUAUUGCCUGCCUUUCAGGUUUUUGACUUUGAGCUGACUCCAGAGGACGUAAAAGCCAUUGAUGGCCUCAACAGAAAUCUCCAACAUGCUAAGUUACAAUUGUGAUACUUGCAGAUUCUUCACAGACUGUUUUCUGUAGCACACACAGAAACAGAGGAACAUCUUCCCUACAUCAGGAAGACAGUCCUGAAUUCAGGCAUGGGAUGAAACAGGAAAUUCGCUGUAGCCCUCAGAACAUAAGUUUCCUCCAGGGCUCUAUUUCUGACGCAACAGAAAGUCCAUCUGUAAGUAACACUGCCUAUGUCUGCUCUAUUGUGAAUCCACUUUUUUUUUAAUGCCCGCACUACCAGUGCCUGGGUCCUAUACUUUGGGCCCAUUUACCCAUUAGACUAGAAGGCACAAGCCUGUCUUAAUUUAUGUGAAAAAAGAAGAAAAAUUAACACAAUAAUAACAAAUAUGUAAUAAUGACUCAAACCUGGUCUAUCUUCAUGUCCCCGCCCCAGCAGAAGUCUCCAUGUGGUUCCUGCCUAGUGGAGACGUGGGAGCAGGACCAUAGCCCUCCAGACCCCAGAAUCACAGAGUCUUCAGCAGCUUGAAACUUCUGCCUGGAAAAGCCACAGGCAAUGAAUUCCAAUUUGUGAAAGCAGCCACAUGGGCUGUGCUCAGCAAAGCCAGGGGAAUAGGGCUUCCCAGAUGCUUGAGAGCUGACCCCUUGCACCAGGUGCCCAGGAUGCAGGACAUAAAGUCAAUGGAAAUUAUCUUGGAGCUUUAAGGUUUGAUGUCUGCCUUGCUGGAAUUCUGAUUUCCAUGAGUCCUGUUUCUCUGUCCCUACUCCUGCCUUUUUUUGAUUACCUUCCUUUUUGAAAAAGGAAUGUUUACCCACAGCUGAUAGAACAGUUGUACUUUGAAAGUAAAUAACUUGUUUUUGACUUCAUAGGCUCAUAACUGGCAGGAAGUUGCCUUGAGUCUGAUAGGAAUUUUUGUACUUUGGAAUUUUAAGUUGGUGCUGGACCAAGUUACAACUUUUGGGAAAUACUGGGAUGAAAUAAUUACAUUUUGCAUGUGAGAAGAACAUGAAUUUAUGGAUUGGGGGCUGAAUGCCAUAGCUGGCAUAUGUGACCCUCCCAACCAUAUGCUGAAUUCUCAAUGUAGGAGGCGAGGCCUAGUGAAGUCAUUAUGGUCAUGGGGGCAGAUUUCUCAUGAAUGACUUGGUGCUCUCCCUAUAGUAACAAGUGAAUUCUGGCUUUAUUACUUUUUUGAUUGCUGCUUGUUAAGAAGAGCCUAGCACCUUACUUUGCUCUCUUACUCUGUGACCUCAGCACAUGCUGGCUUUCCUUUCCCUUCUGCCACGAGUGGAAGCAGCCUGAAGCCCUCACCAAAGGCCUAAUAGACGCCAGUGCCAUGCCUCCCGAACAGCCAGCAGACCGUGAGCCAAUAAACCUCUUUAUAAACA